CCUACGGGAGGCAGCAGUGAGGAAUAUUGGACAAUGGACGAAAGUCUGAUCCAGCUAUGCCGCGUGCAGGAUGACGGCCCUAUGGGUUGUAAACUGCUUUUAUACAGGAAGAAAAACUCCGACGUGUCGGAACUUGACGGUACUGUAAGAAUAAGGAUCGGCUAACUCCGUGCCAGCAGCCGCGGUAAUACGGAGGAUCCAAGCGUUAUCCGGAAUCAUUGGGUUUAAAGGGUCCGUAGGCGGUUUUUUAAGUCAGAGGUGAAAUCCUGCAGCUCAACUGUAGAAUUGCCUUUGAUACUGAAAGACUUGAGUUAUUGUGAAGUGGUUAGAAUGUGUGGUGUAGCGGUGAAAUGCAUAGAUAUCACACAGAAUACCAAUUGCGAAGGCAGAUCACUAACAAUAUACUGACGCUCAGGGACGAAAGCGUGGGUAGCGAACAGGAUUAGAUACCCUGGUAGUCCACGCCGUAAACGAUGGAUACUAGCUGUAUGUCUACUUCAGGUAGAAGUGUGGCUAAGCGAAAGUGAUAAGUAUCCCACCUGGGGAGUACGAUCGCAAGAUUGAAACUCAAAGGAAUUGACGG
rnacentral:rRNA from 1 species